AUUGAACGCUGGCGGCAGGCCUAACACAUGCAAGUCGAGCGGAUGAAGAGAGCUUGCUCUCUGAUUUAGCGGCGGACGGGUGAGUAAUGCCUAGGAAUCUGCCUGGUAGUGGGGGAUAACGUUCCGAAAGGAACGCUAAUACCGCAUACGUCCUACGGGAGAAAGCAGGGGACCUUCGGGCCUUGCGCUAUCAGAUGAGCCUAGGUCGGAUUAGCUAGUUGGUGAGGUAAUGGCUCACCAAGGCGACGAUCCGUAACUGGUCUGAGAGGAUGAUCAGUCACACUGGAACUGAGACACGGUCCAGACUCCUACGGGAGGCAGCAGUGGGGAAUACUGGACAAUGGGCGAAAGCCUGAUCCAGCCAUGCCGCGUGUGUGAAGAAGGUCUUCGGAUUGUAAAGCACUUUAAGUUGGGAGGAAGGGCAUUAACCUAAUACGUUAGUGUUUUGACGUUACCGACAGAAUAAGCACCGGCUAACUUCGUGCCAGCAGCCGCCGUAAAAC
rnacentral:rRNA from 1 species